rnacentral:rRNA from 1 species
UAGGGAAUCUUCGGCAAUGGGGGGAACCCUGACCGAGCAACGCCGCGUGAGUGAAGAAGGUUUUCGGAUCGUAAAGCUCUGUUGUUAAGGAAGAACGAGUGUGAGAAUGGAAAGUUCAUACUGUGACGGUACUUAACCAGAAAGGGACGGCUAACUACGUGCCAGCAGCCGCGGUAAUACGUAGGUCCCGAGCGUUGUCCGGAUUUAUUGGGCGUAAAGCGAGCGCAGGCGGUUAGAUAAGUCUGAAGUUAAAGGCAGUGGCUCAACCAUUGUAGGCUUUGGAAACUGUUUAGCUUGAGUGCAGAAGGGGAGAGUGGAAUUCCAUGUGUAGCGGUGAAAUGCGUAGAUAUAUGGAGGAACACCGGUGGCGAAAGCGGCUCUCUGGUCUGUAACUGACGCUGAGGCUCGAAAGCGUGGGGAGCGAACAGG